UUCGGUGGCACUUCGGCAGCGGGUCCUUCAGUGCUGCCAAACACACCCGGAGUGAAGGACCCGCCGCUGCUUCUACCGCUCCAAGUCUUCGGCGGCAAUUCAGCGGCGGGGGUCCUUCCGUUCCUUGUCUUUGGCGAAGUGCCCCGAAGACCCCAGGCCCCCUGAAUCCAGUGGGCGGCCCUGAGAGAAGGUGGAGACAACAGAGCAGACAAUGGGCGAGACACCCGCUGCAGAGGGUGCUCCAUGGCUGCACUGAGCUAAUUCCUGGAGUGACCAGCAGGAGGCGUUGCAGUGGAAUGUGGAAUGGGGACACCCCCCCCACACAUCUGGAAAGAGUUCCUGCCCCAAAGAGCUUGCAAACUACACAGAUAAAGGGUGUUCCAGAGACGGGUGGAUGGUUCCGUGGAUUUUUACCGUGACUGGAAUACAUACAAGAGAGGUUUUGGCAGCCGGCUGUCAGAAUUCUGGCUGGGGA